rnacentral:rRNA from 1 species
CCUACGGGUGACAGCAGUGAGGAAUAUUGGUCAAUGGACGGAAGUCUGAACCAGCCAUGCCGCGUGCAGGAAGACGGCUCUAUGAGUUGUAAACUGCUUUUGUACAAGGGUAAACCUGAAUACGUGUAUUCAGCUGAAAGUACUGUACGAAUAAAGAUCGGAUAACUCCGUGCCAGCAGCCGCGGUAAUACGGAGGAUCCAAGCGUUAUCCGGAUUUAUUGGGGUUAAAGGGUGCGUCGGCGGAUUGAUAAGUUAGACGGGAAAUGUCCGAGCUUAACUCGGGAACUGCCGCUAAUACUGUUGAUCUAGAGAGUAGAUGCGGUAGGCGGAAUGUAUGGUGUAGCGGUGAAAUGCUUAGAGAUCAUACAGAACACCGAUUGCGAAGGCAGCUUACCAAUCUAUAUCUGACGUUGAGGCACGAAAGCGUGGGGAGCAAACAGGAUUAGAUACCCCAGUAGUC